rnacentral:rRNA from 1 species
GACGAACGCUGGCGGUGUGCUUCAUACAUGCAAGUCGAACGAUAAGGCACCUUCGGGUGUACAUAAGUGGCGGACGGGUGAGUAACACGUAGAGAAUCUACCUCAAGGAAGGGGACAACAGUUGGAAACGACUGCUAAUACCCUAUAUGAGCUAGGCUGGAAUGCCUAUCUUGAAACUUCCGGGGCCUUGAGAUGAGUCUGCGUCUGAUUAGCUUGUUGGUGGGGUAAAGGCCUACCAAGGCGACGAUCAGUAGCUGGUUUGAGAGGAUGAUCAGCCACAAUGGGACUGAGACACGGCCCAUACUCCUACGGGAGGCAGCAGUGGGGGAUAUUGCACAAUGGGCGAAAGCCUGAUGCAGCAACGCCGCGUGAGGGAAGAAGGUCUUCGGAUUGUAAACCUUUGUCCUAAGUGAAGAAACAAAUGACGGUAGCUUAGGAGGAAGCCACGGCUAACUACGUG